AAAAGAAAGGAUGAUUUAAUAAGACGAAACAAGGAAGACAAAAGUUUAUUGCGUCAGACAUUUGGUGUUGUCGCUUGCUCUUGCUUGCAAUUAAUAACCGGGUGUUAAAAAUGGAGCGUGACUUCAAACUCUAACUUAUCCGUCUUGGUGGGAGAAUUGGUAACGAUUUUUCUAUAUUCGAUACUACAAAACAGGAUGCAAGAAUCUGUAACCGAAAUGUGAAAUUACUGCAUUUAAUGGAAAUGUUCGAUGUCAAUUUGAUUUCAUUCUUGAAAAAAGAUAUCCCGGAAGGAAAUAAAAAACAAAAAGGUAAUUUAAAAUUUUUACUUUGAAAUUGUCACUUCACCAUUUUUCUUCUGAUUGACAUAAUAUAUUUAACCGUAAAAAAUGAAAUUUAAAUUUUUUUUAUUAUUAACGAGCAAUUACUUAUUGUGACAUAGUCACAAUGCCGGGCUACAAUUUUUAAUUAAUUUAAUUUAAAAUAUAUGCUCUUUACCUAAAAUUAGCAUUGCAGUGACUUGCCCCUGUACAUCAUACUUUUCCUGGUAGCAACGGAGUC